AAUCCGUGGUGGGGACACUUCCUCUACAACUCCUUAAACCUCACCCAAGCAUCAUAUAAAGACUCUCCAUCAAGUUGAUAAAAGUUAUUCAGUUUUAUCUUUAGCUU